UGUUCUAAUUGUCUCGUUCGAGCGCCAUUUCUAACGGUCAUGUUUGAGGCGAGUCUACAGAUUUUUCGUCUUUCAUGGCAGUUCUCGUGGAUUUUAUUCGUUUACAAACAACAUCUUUCAACUAGUAAGCUAUCCGAAUGGCUUUAGUGUCUUUAGGCAUGAUAUUUAACCGUGGAUGACAGUCAACUGGUGAGAUUCGAUGGCAAUUUAACUCUUACAUGUGAGGCACCAAAUCAAAGUCUUGAAACGAAUAAAUAUGGAUACAUGUAGUGUACAAGAAGCUCAAUCCAGUCGCUCAAUCAGCUGAAACUAAUGAAGGACAAGAAAGGGAAGAAAUUGUCAUAAAAAAUUGUUAGUGUUCAUGAUCGAUUUGCACGCACUUAGAGUGUGUACUCUAUCGACCACUUUUGUUACUGUUGAAUUGAAGUGACGUUCAUCGAGUUUUAAUAUGAUUGAAUAAAAUAGUGCAAUUUGGUUGGC